AGAGUUUGAUCCUGGCUCAGAGCGAACGCUGGCGGCAGGCCUAACACAUGCAAGUCGAACGGUUCCUUCGGGGACAGUGGCAGACGGGUGAGUAACGCGUGGGAACGUGCCCUUCGGUUCGGAAUAACUCAGGGAAACUUGAGCUAAUACCGGAUACGUCCGAGAGGAGAAAGAUUUAUCGCCGAAGGAUCGGCCCGCGUCUGAUUAGCUAGUUGGUGGGGUAAUGGCCUACCAAGGCGACGAUCAGUAGCUGGUCUGAGAGGAUGAUCAGCCACACUGGGACUGAGACACGGCCCAGACUCCUACGGGAGGCAGCAGUGGGGAAUAUUGGACAAUGGGCGCAAGCCUGAUCCAGCCAUGCCGCGUGAGUGAUGAAGGCCCUAGGGUUGUAAAGCUCUUUUGUCCGGGACGAUAAUGACGGUACCGGAAGAAUAAGCCCCGGCUAACUUCGUGCCAGCAGCCGCGGUAAUACGAAGGGGGCUAGCGUUGCUCGGAAUCACUGGGCGUAAAGGGCGCGUAGGCGGACGUUUAAGUCAGGGGUGAAAUCCCGGGGCUCAACCUCGGAAUUGCCUUUGAUACUGGAUGUCUCGAGACCGGAAGAGGUAAGUGGAACUGCGAGUGUAGAGGUGAAAUUCGUAGAUAUUCGCAAGAACACCAGUGGCGAAGGCGGCUUACUGGUCCGGUUCUGACGCUGAGGCGCGAAAGCGUGGGGAGCAAACAGGAUUAGAUACCCUGGUAGUCCACGCCGUAAACGAUGGAUGCUAGCCGUUGGGCAGCUUGCUGUUCAGUGGCGCAGCUAACGCUUUAAGCAUCCCGCCUGGGGAGUACGGUCGCAAGAUUAAAACUCAAAGGGA
rnacentral:rRNA from 1 species